AACCUGGCGGCGUGGAUCAGACAUGCAAGUCGAACGAGGUUAGUCUUGUAGCAAUACAGGGCUAACUUAGUGGCGAACGGGUGCGUAACACGUGACCAACCUGCCUGAAAGUGGGGGAUAGCUCGCCGAAAGGCGAAUUAAUACCGCAUGUGAUCGCAAGAUUAAAGCAGCAAUGCGCUUUUGGAGGGGGUCGCGGCCUAUCAGCUAGUUGGUGGGGUAAAGGCCUACCAAGGCAGCGACGGGUAGCUGGUCUGAGAGGACGACCAGCCACACUGGAACUGAGACACGGUCCGGACACCUACGGGUGGCAGCAGUCGAGAAUUUUUCUCAAUGGGGGAAACCCUGAAGGAGCGACGCCGCGUGGAGGAUGAAGGCUUUCGGGUUGUAAACUCCUGUCAUCUGGGAACAAAACUCGCAAGAGCUUGAUAGUACCAGAAGAGGAAGAGACGGCUAACUCUGUGCCAGCAGCCGCGGUAAUACAGAGGUCUCAAGCGUUGUUCGGAUUCAUUGGGCGUAAAGGGCGCGUA
rnacentral:rRNA from 1 species